AAGGAAAGACAGGGAGGGAGGGGGAAGAAGAAAGAAGACGUCACACCGACGGCUUCCAAUCACGUUUCAAGAGGCGGCCUUAGAGCGGGCUUAUCUGAUUGGUGGAAAGAGAUAAAUCACGUGCUCUCUGUCUUUGGCUCCGCCUCCUCUUCAAGGAAGGUGAAGUGAGCUGGGCUGGGAAGCGGAUGUUGGUGGGCGCUGCUGCUUCUUGGAGGGUUUAAGAAGAAGGCUUAAACACACACACGGGAGGAAUAACCCGCAUUGGCGCCGCUUUAACUGCCCUGCCUCAAGGCUAUGGAAUUCUGGGAUUUGUAGUUUGUUGUGGCACCAAAGGUCUCUGGCAGAGAAUUCAAAGACAUAGCUGUGUUAGCCAGGGAAAUUAGUAUGCAAAGGGAUCUUGUAGCAGCACCUUUGAGACUAACUGUGAAAGAGGUGGCAAAAGUGUUUGUAGACUUCUGGAGUCUGCUUCCUAAUGAGGGAAAAGGCUUCAGUCUAGGAAAUGUCAUGCUACCAGCUUCUUUCUUUCCAUUAGUCUCAAAGGUGCUACUAGGUCCCUUUGCACCCUGACAGAGAAAGCUAAAUGUCUCACAAAACUACAAAUCCCAGCAUCCCAUAACAUUGAACCCUUGGACGUGAAAGCAGUGCCAGACUGUUAUUUCUGCAGCAUAGAUGCAACCCUCUCUUUCUGAUGCGGUUGCUAAAAUGAAAGGGUCGCUCCCAGGCAGCAGGAGGUUGGUUUUCUACACAGGGGAGAAUGCAAAGCCCAGAACAGCUGGAUUUGUACUAUUAAUAGUAAUUAGUACUGUAUUGCUCAGUGAAGUGCCUAAUGGUAUAACAUAAACAGUUUGGAUUGUCCCAUGAGGUGGAGAUGGGGGAUAGAUUACAGACCCUUUCAUACUACGGUAUGCAAGUAUUAGCACUAUGACUCCACUUUAAGCAUUGUGACUGAUUCCUAUAAAAUGCUGGGGUUUAUAGUUUGGUGAGUUGUCAUGGAGCUCUCUGUCUGAGAAUUCUAAAUACCGCUCCAUAAACUACAAAUCCCAGGAUUCCACAGGCACACGGCAGUUAAAGUGGAAUCGUAAGGCUAUAACUGUAGUGUGAAAGGGGUCCAGGCCUCAACAACACUCCUUGAUGCAAGUGUCACUGGGUUCCCCCCCUCCCAAAACCUACAUAUGACAGAUUUGAUGAAGAACAUGUCAACACAGGAAGACGAGGGAGCAGAGAUGGAAUUUAAAAUUGAACACACAUGGAAUAGCUUGCCACUAUCUCAUGAUCCAAUAGUGAUUAAGCUGACACCAGAAAAUUCAGGAAUACUUAUGGAAGUGAGUGCUCCUUUUUUUAAUGAUCCUCCAGCUCCUCCUGGUGAGGCAGGAAAACCAUUCAAUGGACUGUGGGACUAUGAAGGUAAGUGGAACCUUUUUAUUGCUCCCAGAAUAUUGUAUAUCCUGGCUCUUGUGCAAAGGGAAAUAUGCUAUACAAAAAUAUUUUAAACAAGUAGGAUCCACUACAAAAUUUUCCAACACACACCAUCCUCUUCCAGAUUACUCCAUUCCUUUCCCUCCAAGUUACAGGUUUUUU